AGAGUGAGAAACAGUGUCUUCUUCCUGGCUGGAGAGCCCGUGUCAUGAAAAUGGGGACAGGGUAAGGGAUCUGAAAGGAGCAGCAUAGAAGCUGGGAGGAUGAGGCCUGUCUUCCUGGCAUUGAUGCUGCAGAACUACAGGAAAGAAUUUCAGAGGUGUCAUUAUUUUUCAUAUAAGCAGAUGAAAGAGAAGAAUUCUUUGAAAAAAGAAAAGUAGGUGAAAAAGGGAGAGACAGAGGGAUGCCAGCAGUGAAAGAAGCCAGGACUGAGAUACAAGAUUGUGAUGCUGGGAGAGCUGCAAGGGCUCAUGCUGUAGGUGAGGAGUGAGGCUGCACAGGGAGCUCACUGGCAGCUUGGAGAGAACUGGGUGUCAAAGUUGUCCUGCAGAGGUCUACUGUCAGUGUGUCAGGCUCUGAAGAGAACAGGCUGCAACACAUGAAAACAGGAAGGAGACACAGGGGCGAGUCAGCUCCACUGAAAGUCUGUAGCUGUGACUUUCUGGUUUGCCACUCCAAUUUGAGUACUAAUUAAGUGGUAGUCACAUCUUCAACAUAAAAACCAAAAUAAUGGCAUCCUCGUGGAAGGAAUUUUGUCAGAAAAAUGCUGUGUACUUUGCUGUCUUCCUAGGAUUUGUUCUGUUUUUGUUUGUUUGUUUUUUUUAAUGGUUCCACAGGCUGCAUAGGAAUACAAGCUAAGCAAUAUUUUAAUUACAGAUCAUUAAGCAGCUUUGAGUCUGGAAAAUUUGUCAAAUGUACCGAGCAAUUAGAAUUGUUACCAGGAGAAAAUAUCAAUCUACUUGCUGGAGGGUCAAAAGAAAAAAUAGACAUGAAAAAACUGCUUCGUAACAUGUGAAGUCCAGAUCCAAGGGAACCUCAGAAAUCCAUUGAAGUUCCAUUGUUAAGAAGUUCUGUUUGUUUGGCAACUGCUUUAAACCCGAUAGAACAAGAUCAGAAGUGGCAGUCUAUAACUGAGUAAGUUUACUCUUACGGAGGUAAAUGUACAUUGUGUAUAUCAUGUGAUAAACAUACAUGGGGUGAAGAGGGCUGGAAGGAGAGUUACUAGAUUACUAAAUACUAGUGCUAAUAGCUUCAUUUUAGUUGUAGAAGUCAUAUGAUAUAUGAAUGCUGCUUGCCAACAAAAACUGAGGUUGAAAUGAAAUAAAAUGUAAAAAUCCCCAAAAGCAAAUGUCUUGACUUGCUGAUAUCAUUUUAUUAUAGAGCAGGCUGCUCCUCUUACUGCCCCCUAACUUUGGAUGUCAGUUUGAUAGCAUCUUAUCAAUUGCUUUAUUCUUUGAGUGGUUAUGAAUUGUAAUUUUUAUUAAUUGACAGUAAAUAUUUUGUUUCAGAAAUGUGGUAAAGUACUUGAAGCAAACAUCCCGCAUCACUAUUGGACCUCUGAGACUUUCUACUUUAACAGUUUCACAGUCUUUGCCAGUUCUAAGUACCUUGUAGCUGUAUUGCUCGUUUGCUUUGGAGACCACAGUUUCUAACAGACUUUCAACAGAGGUCUGUAUAUUUUUACAAGCACACUCUUAUGACUAUUAAUGGUCAUUACUGUAGAACAAAGACCUUAUUUUUUGAGUUUUUUGGAAUAGGAUUUGUAGUUGGGCAAGCUGGUAAAUCCAGAAAUCUAACAUGCCGUUUUCAGGCAGUCUUUCAUUUGGGAAGUACAUGGGGCAGAUGGAAGAACCUGAGAUAAUCGCAAGGAUGGCAAAUUGCUCAGUUUUUUCUUCUAUUUUUGGGGUGGGAGGUGGUGUAUGUAAAGACAGUUCCUUUAGGCGGAUUACGUAAAUUUUAGAUUUGCUGCAAACAAAGAUCUCUCCUCUUCAUCCUAAAUGGGGUAAAGUUCGACCAGAGAUGGGGGCUUCUGAAUGAAUGGUGAUCUUCGAGAACUUCAUAAUAAAGCAUUAGUUGUAAUGUUUUUCUGCAGUCUGCUUUAUAGUAAAUGUGCUGUGACAUUUUUUUUGUAAUGUGCUUUAUUAAGUAUAUUGAUAAAUUAGACUUAAUAUUCUGAAGAAGAUUUCCCUUCAAAACAAAAGGCUUUCUCUUACUGUGUGCUUGCCUCUUGUGAGUAGAAGAUAAAUGAUGGAAGGGUAUAGUGUAAUAGAUAAAACUACUGCAAUCAAUCUGAAGUAGCCAAACUAUAUUGCAGUCUUGGACUUAAGACUUGCUAUAUAUCUGCAAACAUAUCAACAGCCUGUUUUACGUUGAGUAAUUUUGGUUUUUCUCUGGCAGGACUGUCUUAUUCCACUCUUCGGCGAAGCUUUACGUUCAUGUAAACAGCAUGACGUGAGGCCGUGGAUGCAGGCAUUAAGGUAUACUGUGUACCAGAAUCAGUUGUUGGAGAAAAUUAAAGUUAAGUGGUUUUCCUUUUUUUUUUUUUUGUAAGAGAAAAUUAAAGGUGGUUUUUUUUUUUUAAUUUUGCUUUAUUGAGGUUUAUAUUACACAUUCUAAGUGUAUGGUUUGAUGAGUUCUAACAUGUCUUCACUUGUGUGACCACCAAUACGAUCGAGAUACAGAACAGCAUCUUACCCCAGAAGGUUCCCUUGAGAUCAUCUCCUCAUUUGCCCCUGUCAGCAGUUACUGAUUUGCUUUCUGUCACUAUGGAUUAGACUUGUCUUUACUAAAGUUUCAUGUACGUGAAAUCAUAACAACAUGUUCUCUUGUGUUUGGCUUCUCUUGCUCAGCAUGAUAUUUUUACGGUUCACCCAUAUUGCAUGUAUCAGGAAUAUAAUCCUUUUUAUUAUUGAGUAGUGUUCUAUUGUAUGUAUAUACCACAGUUUAUUUCUCCCUUCAUCCUUUGCUAGAUUUUGGGGUUUUUUCACAUUGCGCUAUUCAGUAUAAACCUGCUCUCAACAUUCAUGUGCAAGUCUUUGAGUGGACAUAUAUUUGCGUUUCUCUUGAGUGAAUGCACCUUGUUGGGUCACGUGGCUUAACUUAAAAAAAUUUUAAUCACUGUGGUGCAUAUGUAGUGAUUAUUAGUGAUUAUCUCAUAAUUUUAUUUUCUUGAUGACUAAUGAUGUUGAGUGUAUUUCAUUUGUAUUUUAGUUUGCAAAUGUUUGUUCAAAUUCUUCACCCGUUUUUAAUGAAGAUGUACGACUUAUUUUUGUGUUCUGAACAGAAGUUCUUUGUCACAUAAAAUGUGCUAUGAAUGUUGAGUUUUAAAUACUCCAAAUGAAUGGCUAGAGAAUUACUAUUUGUAGAAAUAUUUAUAUGUCAAAGGGAUGCUAACAAUUUACUUUAUUGCUCUAAAAUAGAAAAGUUGCCAGAAUGCUGUGGAGUUUUAGUGGAAAACAUGAUAGCUGGUGUUACUGAGUAAAUUUGAGUGUUAAAUGUCAAUGUAAGCUAACGGCCAAGAUAGGGACCACUGCAGGGUGGUUACUUGCAGCUGUGACUCAACUGGUCCUUCACUGCCAAACAUACCUGGGGUUGGAUCAUUGGCCUGACGUUUGCAAAUUGAGGAACCUUAGGGCAAAUCAGUGAACUUCUGAACUGCCUUCGUCUUCAGUUAUAUGGGGAUUUCCCCACUUUUGAGAUCCUUGUAAGGAUUAUAUGAGAUGAAGAGAUGAGACAAGGUAUAUAAAAGUCCUAGCACAGAGCGUGUCAUAUAAUAUGGCUUCACAAGUACCCUCAUCUCCUUUCCAGUCGUUUUUUGUUUUUGUUUUUGUUUUUUUGAGACCAUCUCACUCUGUUGCCCAGGCUGGAGUGCCUCUUCAUUUUUAUUUCUUUAUUCAGCAAGUAUUGAUCAAAUGUGCUUUGUACCAGGUACUGAGCUCUACGUUGGGAUAUAAUGGUGAUCAAGGAGAUUGUAGAUUCUGGCAGGGAAAACUGACAUCAAACACGGCGACCCGACAUAGUGAGACCCUGUCUCUACUAGAAGAACUUUAAAAAUCACCUAGGUGUGGGCCGGGCACGGUGGCUAACGCCUGUAAUCCCAGCACUUUGAGAUGCUGAGGCAGGUGGAUCACGAGGUCAGGAGAUCGAGACCAUCCUGGAUAACACGGAGAAACCCCGUCUCUACUAAAAAUACAAAAAAAUUAGCCGGGCGUGGGGGCGGGCAUCUGUAGUCCCAAUUACUCGGGAGGCUGCAGCAGGAGAAUGGCAUGAACCCGGGAGGCGGAUCUUGCAUUGAGCCAAGAUCACGCCACUGCACUCCAGCCUGGGCGACAGAAUGAGACUCCAUCUCAAAAAAAAAAAAAAGAAACCAAGGAUAUAGAAUAAAACAAGAGUGUAGAUUUGGGCAUUGAGGCCUUCAAAUUGGAUUGUUCCCAAUGUCCAGAAGAAAAAAAAAAUUUAGAAGAGACCCAAAUCAGAAAACAAAAGUUGGGCUGAAUUCAAUGCGAAUUAUUUUCUAGCUCAAUAUUAAUACUGCUUAUGUCAGCUGAAUUUCAGCCUUUCAAUAACAGCUAGUCAAGUAUUUUUUUAGUUGGUUCCUAUUGAUCGUCAUCUUAUUUUAGUGGAAUCCAUUAUAUUGAAGAUGUCAAGUUCCUCAUUUCCCAUACAAAGAAUGUGAGAUUCAUCUUUCUUGAAUCUUUGCUAAGUGUUGAAGGGGACUUUUGGCAUCUUUUCAGGAGGACUAUAAUUGGGCCCUCUAACUAAAAAGUCUCCUAUGCCCCUUAGAUAGAUGAGAUUUUUUUUUUUUGACCUUGUACCCACCAACAUUGGUGGGAGGCUCAGAAGGGACUGUGUUUGUAACUUUGUAGCACUUUCUAAACAGUGACCUGUUGUAUGGGCAUUAUAGGACAGUCCGUGGGGUGGGGCGGGGGAUGGGGGAGAUGGACAAAUGAGGUCUGGUUUAAAGAAUGAGAAGUGUGACCAGGCAUGGUGACUCAUGCCUGUAAUCCAGCACUUUGGGAUGCUGAGGCAGGAGGAUCACUUGAGCCCAGGAGUUUGAGGUUACAGUAAGCUAUGAUUGUGCCACUGGGCUCCAGCCUGGGUGACAGAACUAGACCCUGUCUCUAAAAAAAGAAGAAGAGGUGUGUAUCCUUCUAAAUGAUAAAACAGAUCACUCCCCUGCUUACAUAAAACUUUCCGGUGGCUGGCCAGGCACGGUGGCUCACGCCUGUAAUCCCAGCACUUUGGGAGGCCAUGGUGGGCAGAUCACGAGGUCAGGAAAUCGAGACCAUCCUGGCUAACGUGGUGAAAUCUUGUCUCUACUAAAAACACAAAAAAUUAACCCAGGUAUGGUGGCAUGCACCUGUAGUCCCAGCUACUCGGGAGGCUGAGGCAGGAGAAUCGCUUGAACCAGGGAGGUGGAGGUUGCAGUGAGCUGAGAUUGCGCCACUGCACUCCAGCCUGGGUGACAGAGACUCUGUCUC
rnacentral:lncRNA from 1 species